rnacentral:rRNA from 1 species
UACGGAGGGGGUUAGCGUUGUUCGGAAUGACUGGGCGUAAAGCGCGCGUAGGCGGACCUGCAAGUCGGGGGUGAAAUCCCGGGGCUCAACCCUGGAAUGGCCUUCGAGACUGCCGGUCUUGAGUUCGAGAGAGGUGGGUGGAAUUCCGAGUGUAGAGGUGAAAUUCGUAGAUAUUCGGAGGAACGCCAGUGGCGAAGGCGGCCCACUGGCUCGACACUGACGCUGAGGUGCGAAAGCGUGGGGAGCAAACAGG